rnacentral:rRNA from 1 species
ACGCUAGCUAUAUGCUUAACACAUGCAAGUCGAACGUGGCUUGCUUCCCCAUCCAUCCACGUGGGGGCAGAAGGGCAAGAGGAAUGGCCCCCUCCUAGCAAAAUGACGCGUGCUCACUCACUCAAAUGAUAUGCAUGCGGUUCGUGGGGCACAGCAAGCAAAGUGGCGAACGGGUGCGUAACGCGUGGGAAUCUGCCGAACAGUUCACUCAAAAUCCUGAAUAAUUCAUAAAGCAAGCUAAUUCGC